rnacentral:ncRNA from 1 species
GAAAAGUUUUAUUUUUACUUGGGGAUUUGGUUUAAUUUUAUUUUUCAUGUAAAUUUUAGUGGGAAAUUUCUAACCUUUAAAUAGGGUUGGAUUGUUCAUAUUCGCAGUAGAGAAAUUUAAAUAUUGGCGAAAGCCAGAUUUAGGAAUAAUUAUUAUUAUUAACAAAGUUUGUGCCAGCAGUUGCGGUUAUACAAACAAUAAGAUUAAAUUUUUUCGGUAUUAGUUAUUUGUAGAUUAAUUAGGUUUUUUUAUAAAAUUUAUUAGGUGAAAUUUUAAGUUUUAUAUUCUGCUGUUUUUAUAUAAUGAGUCUAGGAAAUUUAAAAUUUAAACUAGGAUUAGAUACCCUAUUAUUUUAAACGUGAAUUUGCUCGGCCGGAUUAGUAUUUGUUAUGUUCUUGAAAAUUAAAGAUUUUGGCGGUAUCUUAGUCUGUUCAGAGGAACCUGUCCCGUAAUUGAUGAUCCACGAUUAGUCAUACCUAAUUUUUUAGUUUAUAUAUCGUCGUAGGUGAAACAUUUUCUUAGAAUUUAAAUGUUUAAAAGUUUAAGGGAAAAGAAAUCAGAUCAAGGUGUAGCUUAUAGUUAGGGGGAGAUGGGUUACAUUAGAUUUAUUUAUAGGGAUUGGGUAUUUAAAAUAUUCAUGAAUGAGGAUUUGAUAGUAAUUUUAAUUGUAUAAUUAUAGUGAUUUUAGCUCUAGGAUAUGCACAUAUCGCCCGUCGCUUUCACUUUAAGGUGAAAUAAGUCGUAACAAAGUAGGCUUACUGGAAAGUGAGCCUAGAAAGCU